rnacentral:rRNA from 1 species
UACAGAGGGUGCGAGCGUUGUCCGGAAUCACUGGGCGUAAAGGGCGCGUAGGCGGUGACUUAAGCGUGUGGUGAAAGCUCGGGGCUCAACCCCGAGUCGGCCGUGCGAACUGGGUCACUGGAGCAGGAUCAGAGGCGGGCGGAAUUCCGGGUGUAGCGGUGGAAUGCGUAGAGAUCCGGAAGAACGACCGGUGGCGAAGGCGGCCCGCUGGGAUCUGGCUGACGGCUGAGGCGCGACAGCGGUGGGGAGCAAACAGG